rnacentral:rRNA from 1 species
CCUACGGGAGGCAGCAGUGAGGAAUAUUGCUCAAUGGGCGCGAGCCUGAACCAGCCAAGUAGCGUGUAGGAUGAAUGCCCUACGGGUUGUAAACUUCUUUUAUAAAGGAAUAAAGUGAGGCACGUGUGCCUUCUUGUAUGUAUUUUAUGAAUAAGGAUCGGCUAACUCCGUGCCAGCAGCCGCGGUACUACGGAGGAUCCGAGCGUUAUCCGGAUUUAUUGGGUUUAAAGGGAGCGUAGAUGGUUUGUUAAGUCAGAUGUGAAAGUUUGCGGCUCAACCGGAAAAUUGCAAUUGAUACUGGCAGCCUUGAGUACAGUUGAGGUAGGCAGAAUUCGUGGUGUAGCGGUGAAAUGCGUAGAGAUCACGAAGAAUACCGAUUGCGAAGGCAGCCCACUAAACGGCCACUGACAUUGAUGCGCGAAAGCGUGGGUAGCAAACAGGAUUAGAUACCCCUGUAGUC